AACGCACCUUGCGCCCCCUGGUAUUCCGGGGAGCACACCUGUUCGAGUGUCUUGACACUGUCAAGCUGGGGUACUUUUUGUUUAGAAAGGUUGCCUCUGUUUGGUUAUUGGGCUCUGCCGUGUCCUGCACUUGGGGAAAUGGGCUAGCCUUAAAAGCAUUAGCAAACCUUGAUAAUCUACUCGGCGUAUUAAUGAUACAUGAACCGCAGAGGACAUUGUUAUCGGUUGCUUUCUAAUCUGGCAUUGGUGGUUCUUAGGAAUCCGUCAACCAUCUUCAGAUUUGACCUCGAAUCAGGUGGGACUACCCGCUGAACUUAA
rnacentral:misc_RNA from 1 species